rnacentral:rRNA from 1 species
AGCGUACGUUAAAGUUGCUGCAGUUAAAAAGCUCGUAGUUGAACGUUCGGGUUCCGCGGGACGGGGCCGCCCCGCGAGGGACGGCGCCGCCCCGGGGCUCGUGAUAUCUUAUCUCGCCGCCCGUCGCGAGGCGGACGGAGGGAUGGAUGAGGUUACCUGGAAAAAAUCGGGGCGAUCUAGGCGGGCGAACCUCGCCAACGAACGAUCGGACAUGGGAUAACGGAAGAGGGCGUCGGCUCGACUUCGUCGGUUCCUCGGGCCGAGGCACGUACGGUGAAUAGGGACGGUCGGGGCCGCCCGUACCGGGUCGUGAGAGGUGAAAUUCUAGGAUCGACCCGAGACGAACUGCCGCGAAAGCAUUCGGCAAGGACGCUUUCAUUAAUCAAGAACGAAAGUCGGGGGAUCGAAGACGAUCAGAUACCGUCGUAGUCCCGACCGUAAACGAUGCCGACC